rnacentral:tRNA from 1 species
CAGUAAGUAGUUUAUUUAAAACAUUAAUUUUGGGGAUUAAUAAAAAGUGUUUAUACUUCUUAUUGA